UCCCUACACACCUGGGAACCCAGCGGAGGCGAGAUGCACGUGGUUCCGCGGAAAUACUUCAGAAAUUGGAUCUCAUAAAAAUCUUUCUGUGUCAAAUGUUCAGCUCCCAGGCGAAGGAUAUUAUAAAUGCAGCGUCAACAACACUAUGGACCCCCUACGGGAUGUACCGCUGAGGAGGGAUACGAUGAAACACACUUUUACGUGGAUGUACAAUAUCCUGCUAAUAUAAGAAGAUUUUACAUCAACGGGUCGAAUUUCGCAUCUAGUAGUAACCAUCAAUGAAAGUCAGACUGUUACACCACUCUGCGAAGCUGACAGCGAACCUUUAGCAAAUCUUGAACUCGUAAAUAUAACUAAGGGUGUUGAGCGCUUAUUAAUGGAAGUGAACAACAAAACAAUAUCCGCCCAUUUAUCAAAUGUGCGAUGUGAAUAUGAUAUGGGAGUCUACCAAUGUAAAGGAAAGAACAUCCAUAAUGCACUACAACAGGUUCGCGAACUGGAGAUCAGAAUAUUGUGUUCACCUAGACCAUCGACAUUUUCUCCACCGAUUCCCGUAGUUUAUAGAAGAAGAAGUGCAUCAGCUACUUUAACGUUCACGAUCGUGGCUUAUCCCCCUCCAAAUGACGUAUCAGCAUAUAUUUGGCGUAAGCAGGUAGAUGGUGAAUGGGUAACACUGCACAAUAACAGCAGGUUUCUAAUUCGCACAUCAAACGACAGUCUGCAGAAGAACCUUUCCAUAUCGCAACUAAAAAUUGACGAUUUUACAAACUAUUCGGUCCAUGUGAACAAUAACCUCGGAUCUACAGAGCAAUCAUUUGUCAUCCGAGCGAAUGAGCAGCCCAAUACGCCGCAACAACUUCUUGUCCUUGACGCCAUGGUGAAUGAAAGUUCCGUCACAGUUCAAUGGACACCUGGAUUUAAUGGGGUUGAAGACCAAUGGUUCGUGAUCGGUUACAAAAAGGCAGCAGAUUAAACAUGGACUUACAUUAACAUAUCUUCAACAGUCACUCAACUAAGCAUUGGUGAAUUAGUUGCGGGCACCAAGUAUGAAGUUAAAAUGCACGCAGAGAAUAUAUAAUUGGCAAAUCUGAAGAGACCACUGUAUUAAGUGUAACAACUAAAUCUGUAAUUUCAGGUAUGUUUUAAAGUUUUGCAUUUGAUAGUUUGCUCUGUUUAAAAUAUUAUCAAAUUACAUAUUUGAAAUUGUUGCGAUAAACACCUGGACGAUAAUCACACAUUUGCAUAUCGAAGAUGAUAUCGUGUCAGUAGGCUUCAUAUUUAACUUGUAUUUGCAGCAGGGACAUCGUACCCACAGCCAGAAAUGUCAUGAUUCUUACUUCAAAUAUAAAUAAUCAACCCCAUAAUUACACGGUACAAUUUUCAUGAGAUCAACGGUCUUCCUCAUCUGUUGGGGCUGCAGCGGGAGGUGCUGUAGGCGGAAUGCUCCUGGCAAUCAUCUUGGUGAUGCUCUGGAAAUACAGAAAAGCGUUUAAACGUCAACCUGGCGAAGGUGCUCAUUACGAUGACCUGUUCAAUAGACAAAUCACAGCACACAAACCAGUACGAGACAUUGGCUGAAACUUCUUUCCACGAGUAUUCGGUGUUAUCACCUGGCGGCAAACAGGAUUAUAGUGUAAAGAAUCGUGCAACUCAAGUUACUGAAACUGAUCGUGCUAUCGUGAAUCAGGAAAACGCCCAUGUUAAUUUGUUAUUUUCAGAAACAUAAAUAUCGUUUGAUUUUGUGAUCGGAGUGAUUACAUCAAUUUUUUUAUAGCGCACAUUAAAGUAUUCA